rnacentral:rRNA from 1 species
GGGGAAUAUUGGACAAUGGGCGAAAGCCUGAUCCAGCCAUGCCGCGUGAGUGAUGAAGGCCUUCGGGUUGUAAAACUCUUUCGACGGGGACGAUAAUGACGGUACCCGUAGAAGAAGCUCCGGCUAACUUCGUGCCAGCAGCCGCGGUAAUACGAAGGGGGCUAGCGUUGUUCGGAAUUACUGGGCGUAAAGCGCGCGCAGGCGGCUAUCCAAGUCAGUGGUGAAAGCCCGGAGCUCAACUCCGGAACUGCCAUUGAAACUGUUUAGCUUGAGGAUGAGAGAGGUGAGUGGAAUUCCCAGUGUAGAGGUGAAAUUCGUAGAUAUUGGGAAGAACACCGGUGGCGAAGGCGGCUCACUGGCUCAUUACUGACGCUCAGGCGCGAUAGCGUGGGGAUCAAAC